UGUUCUUCUGUGCUGAUCUUUCUGCUGAUGUAUUAUGACAUAGUCUGUCAACAUGAACAGAUAUGUGAAAGGAGAUUGGGUGACUGAGACAUACAACCUGAAUCUGGCUCUUCUUGAAUUUUAAGCAUGUUAUCAUGUUUGGCUACAGCAAAGGUGAAGAAAUAAAACUAAGAAGGUUACAUCUACACAGAUCAGCUUCUAUUUGUAAAACUCGAAGGUCUACUCCAUUUCUUUUUAUAACUGGAUUGACUCACUAUGGGCUUCAUCUGAAGAAUAUGGCUGAUUCACCCCAAACUUAUCAGGAGAGCUUAUAAAAUUCUUCCACUACUUCCCAACACAUAUUUGUGUGAGCAAGAAUUUUCACUUUGUUCUUGCAAAUUAAAACAACAACAACAACAACAACAACAACAACAACACCAACAAAGAGAAAUAAACUCAAUAUGGAACCAGAUUUAAGACUGUAUUUGUUUGGUAUUGAGACAAAUUUUGCAAACCUUCGUUCAAAUAAAAAUGUCCAGUGUUUAUAUUAAGUUUGUAUUGAUUAAUAUAUCAUGUUAAACAUAUU